rnacentral:tRNA from 2 species
GCUCCAUAAUGUAGUGGUUAGCAUAUCUACUUUACACGCAGAAGGUCCUGGUUUCGAUCCCCAGUGGAAGCA